GAUGAACGCUGGCGGCGUGCUUAACACAUGCAAGUCGAACGAACCUUCGGGUUAGUGGCGGACGGGUGAGUAACGCGUGAGAAUCUGCCCUCAGGAGGGGGAUAACAGCUGGAAACGGCUGCUAAUACCCCAUAUGCCGCGAGGUGAAAUGAAUUUCGCCUGAGGAUGAGCUCGCGUCUGAUUAGCUAGUUGGUGUAGGUAAUGGCUCACCAAGGCAUCGAUCAGUAGCUGGUCUGAGAGGAUGAUCAGCCACACUGGGACUGAGACACGGCCCAGACUCCUACGGGAGGCAGCAGUGGGGAAUUUUCCGCAAUGGGCGAAAGCCUGACGGAGCAACGCCGCGUGAGGGAUGAAGGCCUCUGGGCUGUAAACCCCUUUUAUCAAGGAAGAAGAUCUGACGGUACUUGAUGAAUAAGCCACGGCUAAUUCCGUGCC
rnacentral:rRNA from 1 species